UAAGCUGGUGAUAUGGACCAACUU
rnacentral:siRNA from 1 species